rnacentral:rRNA from 1 species
GUGGGGAAUAUUGGACAAUGGGCGCAAGCCUGAUCCAGCAAUGUCGCGUGGGUGAAGAAGGCCUUCGGGUUGUAAAGCCCUUUUGUACGGGAAGAAAUCAUUAGGGUUAAUACCCUGGGUGGAUGACGGUACCGUAAGAAUAAGCACCGGCUAACUUCGUGCCAGCAGCCGCGGUAAUACGAAGGGUGCAAGCGUUAAUCGGAAUUACUUGGCGUAAAGCGUGCGUAGGUGGUUGUUCAAGUCUGUCGUGAAAGCCCUGGGCUCAACCUGGGAAUGGCGAUGGAAACUGGGCGACUAGAGUGCGGUAGAGGAUGGCGGAAUUCCCGGUGUAGCGGUGAAAUGCGUAGAGAUCGGGAGGAACAUCCGUGGCGAAGGCGGCCAUCUGGACCAGCACUGACACUGAGGCACGAAAGCGUGGGGAGCAAACAGGAUUAGAAACCCGAGUAGUCC